AAGUCUUCGGACUUUUUCUAGCGGCGGACGGGUGAGUAACACGUGGGCAACCUGCCUGGUAGAGGGGGAUAGCCUUCCGAAAGGAAGAUUAAUACCGCAUAACAUGGUUUCAGGGCAUCCUGAAAUCAUCAAAGGAGCAAUCCGCUAUCAGAUGGGCCUGCGUCCCAUUAGCUAGUUGGUGAGGUAACGGCUCACCAAGGCGACGAUGGGUAGCCGACCUGAGAGGGUGAUCGGCCACAUUGGGACUGAGACGCGGCCCAGACUCCUACGGGAGGCAGCAGUGGGGAAUAUUGCACAAUGGGGGAAACCCUGAUGCAGCAACGCCGCGUGAGUGAUGAAGGCCUUCGGGUUGUAAAGCUCUGUCUUCAGGGACUUUAAUGACGGUACCUGAGGAGGAAGCCACGGCUAACUACGUGCCAGCAGCCGCGGUAAUACGCAGGUGGCAAGCGUUGUCCGGAUUUACUGGGCGUAAAGGGAGCGUAGGCGGAUAUUUAAGUGGGAUGUGAAAUACCUGGGCUUAACUUGGGUGCUGCAUUCCAAACUGGAUAUCUGGAGUGUUGGAGAGGAAAGUGGAAUUCCUAGUGUAGCGGUGAAAUGCGUAGAGAUUAGGAAGAACACCAGUGGCGAAGGCGACUUUCUGGACAAUAACUGACGCUGAGGCUCGAAAGCGUGGGGAGCAAACAGGAUUAGAUACCCUGGUAGUCCACGCCGUAAACGAUGGGUACUAGGUGUAGGGGGUAUCGACUCCCCUGUGCCGCCGUAAACACAUAAGUACCCCGCCUGGGGGAGUACGGUCGCAAGAUUAAAACUCAA
rnacentral:rRNA from 1 species